ACACACACAAUAAAUAAACAAACAAACAUUAAAAAAAAAACCACAGGUGGUUAAGUGUUACCCUGAGGAUGAGAGUAAGGUAACGUGAGGGAACUGAACCCAAUUAGAAGGGGGACUGGAGAAGUUAGGGACUGCCUCCAGGGGAGUGACACCAAGUCAAGACUAAAAGUAUGAGCGUGAGUUAUCCAUGUGACUGCAGGAUGUGGAAGUGGAGAGAGACUUUCCAGGAGAAUGAAAAGCACUUCACAGGCCCAGAAUGAGAGAUCCCACAUAUAUUGAGAUAGGGUGCAUGGAACCGAGUAUAUACAAUGUGAGAAGGUAUGAGACUUGAGAUGGGAGUGGUAAGCAGGAGAUGGAACAUGAAAUACAUUCAGUCAUAUCAUGGGGCUUGAACUUCACACCAAGUGCAAAGGAGAGUGACAGGUUCAGAUCUGUACUUUAGAAAGACUCUGGCCACAGGCUGAAACAGGUUGGAAACAGGGCCACAUUGCUAGCAUGUAUAUCUUGUAUGACGUAGAAAACAACUUGUGUGAAUUAGAAGAAUGUGCUCCUUCAACCUUGAUCUUGAGAGCUAAGUUUUGACUGUAUUUUGUCCUUGUUCUCCUUACCAUCAACAUGACUAGUUGUCUUUGGGCAGGGCAUGAUGGAAAAGGAUUAUGUAGGAAUCCAGGUGAGAGGUGCUGGGAGCAUGAACUAAGGAUAGAGGCAGGCUUUUUGAGAUGUUCAGAAUUGACAGGAUUUGAUGACUGAUUGGAUGUGAAGGGUAAGAAAAGGGAAUGGGAAAGUUUGUGUAUUUUUAUGUGCAUUUGAAUAUUCAUCACUUUAUUCUUCCCUCUCUCUUCUUUUAUUCUCUCUCCCCAGGACACAGUCCUGUUCUCCAGAGAGAGCUCAGGGAGCUAAAGGAGGAUUUAUGUCAGAUAUGUAAACAGGAGAAGGAGGAGAAAGUAUUCGAAGUGGGGAGCCUAGCAGAGGUGUGGAAGUGCUGAAGGACAGGUGAUCCAAUUUGCUUAAACAUAGGACACCUGGAAGAGAAUCCCUGCCACGUAAACACAGAAAGCAAUCGGGGAUAAGAUACUUCACUAAAUUCAUAAGUGUCAAGAAGACAAAAAUACAAGAACAGAAUACUUACAGAAUCAAUACUUUGUGCAAACAUUAUGGAAGCCUUCACAGUCUGCAGGCCAUGAGGUAUGAACUCACAUCCUUCUUCAUACAGCCCUGUUACUUUGUCGAGUUUGCAUGAUUUGGUGACACAGCUGCCUCCCUGACACUUCUUUAUUACAUUUUUGCCAGUAAUAUCUGCCGAACAUCUGAAAAUACAUUAAUACGUUUAGGUGCUGUAAUCAUUUUGAAGGGUUAUUAGACUCUGUGGUCAGGUUGUUCUGAUGUCUACAAUUUCCUCUUAUAAGCAAAUAGAUCACCUUAAAUAGCAAAAUUAUUAAAUUCUCAACAGAGUCAUUUUUAUUUGCCAGAAAGUAUCUGAAGAGUUCCCCAAACGGUAUCAGAAUUUGUUUCUUUGCAGCAGAAAAGCUAACUCUGGCUUAUGGCUGUUGUCAGAAUUAAUAAGCUUCCAAGCCCUUAGCUACCUCCUAAUCUAGGACCCUCAUUGCUAGAAAAUCAGGAACUCUCUUUUGUUUCCCUCAAAAGGCUUUAAGACAUUUCCUGUUUUUCUAGUUAUACAAUUUUGCAUAUUUCUUAUAUGUUCGUAGGUAUUUUAGAUUUUUCUUUAUAUGCUUAUGAGUU